CAGCAGUUAUUUAUUGAAUACUUUAUGCCAGGCACUGUUCUAGGAGCUUGGGAUACAUGGAUGAACAAGGCAGACAAGUAUCCCCAUCCGUAUGGAGUUUACAUUCCAGGGGCAGGAGACAGGUCAGUAAAUUAUACUUUUGUUAGAGAGUGGUAAGUGCUAUGGAGGAAAGGAAAGUUGUUUCUGGAGAUGCAGGGUUGGGGGCAGGUCACAGCUGGAGUCAGGCAGCCCAGUCAAGAGGCUGUGGAAAGUCAAGCUGGAGAGGCAAGGCCUGCUGGGGGCUGUGGAGGUCAGGAGAAGGCCACACACCACGGGCCAGACUGUGUAUGGUAGGGGUGGGACCAAGGUGCCACUGAGCUUUUACGUUUAGGUGGCAAAGAAGAUGAUGUCAUUCAUAAAAGCAGGAAGGCAUUAGUUCAUUUGAGGAACAGAAAGAGUGCAGUGCAUCUGAUGAGCGGGGAGAGGCGUUUCAGAUGAAGAGACAGGCUGGGACCAGGUCAUGUAGCCUGGUAGUCUCUUGGGGAAUUAUUCCAAGAACAAUGGGAAGCCCUCAGAGGGCCAGGCAGGAGGUUCUGGGUCUGGUUUGUCUUUGAAAAUUAUGCGUAGCACACAGAUUUAAGGGGGCCGGAGGCCAGGCAUGGUGGCUCACGCCUGUAAUCCCAGCACUUUGGGAGGCGGAGGAGGGCAGAUCAUGAGGUCGGGAGUUCGAGACCAGCCUGGCCAACAUGGUGAAACCCCAUCUCUACUAAAAAUACAAAAAUUAGCCCGGCAUGGUGGUGCACAUCUGUAAUCCCAGCUACUUGGGAGGCUGACGCAGGAGAAUUGCUUGAACCCAUGAGGCGGAGGUUGCGGUGAGCAGAGACCACGCCAUUGCACUCCAGGCUGGGUGACAAGAGCAAGACUCCCUCUCAAAAAAAAAAAGCAGGGAGGGUGGCUGGGGGGCAGGAAUGGGACCAGGAGACCAGUGACGGGCCAAAGUAGUUUAGAGAUGGUGGUGACUUUGAGUGGUGGUGGAGAAGAAGAAGGGGGCAGAUUCCAUAGCUGUCUUGAAGGCAGAAGUGUCAGGAUUUGCCGUGGGAGGAAGGGAGAAGGAGGUGAAGGUAGUGCCCAGGCUUGGGGCUGCGCAAGGCAUGGUGCUGGCCUCCACUGAGAUGGGGAGAUGGAGAACACCUUCUGGAGUAGGUAGAAACCAGUUUUGUUCUGGCUGUCUUCUGCUGUGGCACUCAUCUGUAGCCACCAAGUAGGUGGCUGAGGAUGCACACUGAAACUUCCUAAAGAGAGAAACGAACAUGUACCUUUGUGGGUUAUCAACGUGCCCCCAUACUUAAGAGUGUGGGGCCGGGCGUGGUGGCUCACGCCUGUAAUCCCAGCACUUUGGGAGGCCGUGGCGGGUGGAUCACGAGGUCAGGAGAUGGAGACCAUCCUGGCUAACAUGGUGAAACCCCGUCUUUACUAAAAAAUACAAAAAAUUAGCCAGGCAUGGCGGCACGAGCCUGUAGUCCCAGCUAGUCGGGAGGCUGAGGCAGGAGAAUGGCGUGAACCCGGGAGGCGGAGCUUACAGUGAGCCGAGAUCGCACCACUGCACUCCAGCCUGGGCAACAGAGCCAGACUCCGUCUCAAAAAAAAAAAAAAAAAAAAAAAGAGUGUGGAUGGAGGAGCAGCUCUGAUCAGUGAGGAGGAGGGGCAGGGAGGUGGAAGGAAACCUGGGAGAGGGGCCACCAUAGUCCCAGGAAAGACUUGAAGGACGGUGUGGUCAGCUGUGUCGGAUACCGCUGAGAGGACCAGUCAGACAAGCGCAGAGGAAAGCCCGGUGGACUUGGGCACGUGAGGUCGCCGGCGAAGCUGACAAGAGCAGGCUUGUGAACUGCUUGAGGAUGGGUGGAGCAGCACUGGGAGCAGCGGCAGGAGGUGAGGCAGUGGCUGGACAAGAUGCAGCCCCGGGUGCGAGCAUGCUUGUCCGCAGAGGGAGUGACUCCGUGGGGAGGGAGAGCCAAUGAUGCUGACGAGGGGAGGCAGCAAAGGAGGGGUCCAGGCCGGGUACGGUGGCUCAUGCUUGUAAUGCCAGCACUAUGGGAGGCCGAGGCAGGAGAAUCACUGGAGCCCAGGAGUUCGAGACCAGCCUAGGUAACAUAGGGAAACCCUGUGUCAAUCAGUCAAUCAGUGAGUGGUCCUGCACAGCCCAGGCUCUCUGAUUAAUGCUGCCACCACAGUUCCCAUCCGCUGGGUUUGAAGGGAAAGUGAAACUUCCAAAUCCCACAAAGGCCCUGGCUCCUGAGCCUCACCUCUUUGAUUGAGUGUAAAUUAUUCCCACUUGGCUUCUCAUUUUAUUGUCACAACAAGCCCUGUGAGUUUCAGGGGAUUAAAUGAGCUGCAUAAGCACCAGCUGAGUGCUAGUAAGUGGCAAAGCCACGAUUUGAAGCCAGGUCUGAGCUGUCUCCAGAGCACUUCCUCUCAAUCCCCAUGUCAUACUGCUUCCCGCAGGCUUCUUACUUCGAGCAGUCUUAGGAUCAGGUCACCUGCAAUCUCUGUUCCCAAGGGGAUGGAUUAGGCAGGCAGAUGGGAUUCCUUCCCAAUCAUUGUUUCUUAUGGGCAAUUCCUACCUCUAGUACUUUCGAGACAAACUUAAUAUCAGUCCUCCAGGCUUCCUUCCUACCCAGGAAUGAUGCUUUUUGAGCGUUUCCUCACAUGCCUGACGGUCUACUUACAUGCCGCCAGAGACAGAAAGCUCACUAUCUCCAUGAGUAACCCAUUCUAGGCAGUAGGCUUUGCAUGACAGCUUAGAGUCUAUGCUCUUAAGUUGCUUUGGCUGAAUCUCAGUUCUGCUGCCUACUAGCAUCCUGUGCUUCAGUUUCCUCACCUGUAAAAUGGUAAUAACAGCCUGGCACAGUGGUCCAUCCCUC
rnacentral:lncRNA from 10 species